rnacentral:rRNA from 1 species
AGUGAACGCUGGCGGUAGGCCUAACACAUGCAAGUCGAACGGCAGCACAGAGGAGCCUGCUCCUUGGGUGGCGAGUGGCGGACGGGUGAGGAAUACAUCGGAAUCUACUCUGUCGUGGGGGAUAACGUAGGGAAACUUACGCUAAUACCGCAUACGACCUACGGGUGAAAGCAGGGGAUCUUCGGACCUUGCGCGAUUGAAUGAGCCGAUGUCGGAUUAGCUAGUUGGCGGGGUAAAGGCCCACCAAGGCGACGAUCCGUAGCUGGUAUGAGAGGAUGAUCGGCCACACUGGAACUGAGACACGGGCCAGACUCCUACGGGAGGCAGCAGUGGGGGAGAUUGGACAAUGGGCGCAAGCCUGAUCCAGCCAUACCGCGUGGGUGAAGAAGGCCUUCGGGUUGUAAAGCCCUUUUGUUGGGAAAGAAAUCCAUCUGGUUAAUACCCGGGUGGGAUGACGGUACCCAAAGAAUAAGCACCGGCUAACUUCGUGCCAGCCGCCGCCGUAA